UACAGAGGGGGCAAGCGUUGUUCGGAAUUACUGGGCGUAAAGGGCGCGUAGGCGGCCUGCUAAGUCGAACGUGAAAUCCCUGGGCUCAACCCAGGAACUGCGUCCGAUACUGGUUGGCUUGAAUCCGGGAGAGGGAUGCAGAAUUCCAGGUGUAGCGGUGAAAUGCGUAGAUAUCUGGAGGAAUACCGGUGGCGAAGGCGGCAUCCUGGACCGGCAUUGACGCUGAGGAGCGAAAGCUAGGGGAGCAAACGGG
rnacentral:rRNA from 1 species